AGAUUCUCGAGCUGGAGGAGGCCAUCGCGUGGAUGAAGGUCAUCCAUGUCACCGGGACCAAAGGGAAGGUGAAUCACGAGAUAACAUUUGGUGCCAAGGAUUCGAGAAGGUGAACUAAUACCAAGAACCAUGUCGCCGGAUGAUUCAGGAAGAGAUGGUCCUGAUAGUCGAGAUAAACGGUGCAUUGGGUGAACUUGUUACUAUAGAGAUUUCCGUAUUCAGUCUAUCCCAUUACUCAUUUGCUUCAUAAGUUCCUACCAUAUUGUUUAUGUCAAUUUAUUCUACUCAUAUUCAUAAUUCACGCGCCGUU